GAUGAACGCUAGCGGCAGGCCUAACACAUGCAAGUCGAGGGGUAACAAUUGUAGCUUUGCUACAGAUGACGACCGGCGCACGGGUGCGUAACGCGUAUACUAAUCUACCUUUUACUAGGAGAUAGCCUUUGGAAACGAAGAUUAAUAUCCUAUAGUAUGUAAAGCUCACCUGAGUUUAACAUUAAAGAAUUACGGUAAAAGAUGAGUAUGCGUCCUAUUAGCUAGAUGGUAAGGUAACGGCUUACCAUGGCAACGAUAGGUAGGGGCCCUGAGAGGGGGAUCCCCCACACUGGUACUGAGACACGGACCAG
rnacentral:rRNA from 1 species